GACGAACGCUGGCGGCGUGCUUAACACAUGCAAGUCGAGCGGUAAGGCCCUUUCGGGGGUACACGAGCGGCGAACGGGUGAGUAACACGUGGGUGACCUGCCCUCAGCUCUGGGAUAAGCCUGGGAAACUGGGUCUAAUACCGGAUAUGACUCCAUGACGCAUGUUGUGGGGUGGAAAGCCUUGUGCGGCUGAGGAUGGGCCCGCGGCCUAUCAGCUUGUUGGUGGGGUGANGGCCUACCAAGGCGACGACGGGUAGCCGGCCUGAGAGGGCGACCGGCCACACUGGGACUGAGACACGGCCCAGACUCCUACGGGAGGCAGCAGUGGGGAAUCUUGCGCAAUGGGCGAAAGCCUGACGCAGCGACGCCGCGUGAGGGAUGACGGCCUGGUGUAACUACUUCUACNCUCGACGAAGACGAGAGUGACGGUAGGAGACGAGAAGAAGACGACCGGACCG
rnacentral:rRNA from 1 species